rfam:Lactobacillus mellis strain Hon2 genomic scaffold Hon2_scaffold3, whole genome shotgun sequence.
UGUGGUGGCGACAGCGAGAAGGAUACACCUGUAGACAUGCCGAACACAGAAGUUAAGCUUUUCAGCGCCGAGAGUAGUUGGUGGGAAACUACCUGCGAGGCUAGGACGCUGCCACGC